AACCCUUGUCCUUAGUUACCAGCACGUUAUGGUGGGCACUCUAAGGAGACUGCCGGUGACAAACCGGAGGAAGGUGGGGAUGACGUCAAGUCAUCAUGGCCCUUACGGCCUGGGCUACACACGUGCUACAAUGGUCGGUACAAAGGGUUGCCAAGCCGCGAGGUGGAGCUAAUCCCAUAAAACCGAUCGUAGUCCGGAUCGCAGUCUGCAACUCGACUGCGUGAAGUCGGAAUCGCUAGUAAUCGUGAAUCAGAAUCGUCACGGUGAAUACGUUACCCGGGCCUU
rnacentral:rRNA from 1 species